rnacentral:rRNA from 1 species
CUCGGUGAUUAUCGCGCGGGUGUUCCACCUCUUCCCAUUCCGAACAGAGAAGUUAAGCCCCGCAGCGCCGAUGGUACUGCCCAAAAGGUGGAAGAGUAGGUCGUCGCCGAGG